rnacentral:rRNA from 1 species
UACGAAGGGGGCUAGCGUUGUUCGGAAUUACUGGGCGUAAAGCGCGCGCAGGCGGUUCUUCAAGUCAGAGGUGAAAGCCCAGAGCUCAACUCUGGAAUGGCCUUUGAGACUAGAGAACUAGGGUACGGGAGAGGUGAGUGGAAUUCCGAGUGUAGAGGUGAAAUUCGUAGAUAUUCGGAAGAACACCAGUGGCGAAGGCGGCUCACUGGCCCGUUACUGACGCUGAGGCGCGAAAGCGUGGGGAGCAAACAGG